AAACAAAUACAGAGUGCCUACAUUGCAUGUUGCAUUUACAAUUUAGACAUUAAAUUGUCGAUUAUGAAUACGAAGUUUUAAAAUAGACAAUAGUUUAGAUAAUAUACUGAGUACUGAGCGUUAGAACCUUCCCGUUUUUACCGUAUUUAUACUCUAACAAAUGUGGCUUUUAGGCUAGGCCUGGCCGUCCCAGGUCUGACUGUGUGCUUUAAUAUAAGUUGAGUACAGUAACUUGAAAUAGGCGCUGCUAGUGCUAAAUGACAGUUCAUGGAGAAUUUGUUGAUGUUGGCGAAUCUGUGUUUUUUUGGCAUCGAUAGUCGUGUACAUCUAAAACCUGGCCUAGGCCUACACAUGGAUUAAAGUUGGAAGGGAAUGCUAACUGUGUUUCACAGAGUGUGAAGGUAUAAAAUCUUAUGCAACAGGCAAGUCAGCCCCUGUUGAGGAGAUCUCUAGAGACUAUUUAGUGGAAAAAGUUAUUAGUUUCAAGAUUGCCUGCAAGUUUGAAUUUGCUGGAGAAUUAUAUACAAGAUUGUUCGAAGAAAUUUCCUGAACCAAAGGAAUCCUGGCAGCACCGAAGCCAUGCCACAGAUACCAAUGCCUCAAUGAAAACACACCUUGGCAGUCCAUACUGUGAAGCUCUCCGACUGUCUUCAGGUCAAUUAAAAUAUUUUUAAGGAUAAAAUAGGCAAAAUAAACCAUUUGCAAGCUUUAAUGAUUCCAAACACGAUGUACAAUGUGGUUGUUAUCAAAUUUGAAAAAUUGCCUGUGAGAAUAAUUUUCAUAGAAUAUUUUGUUUAAUGCAUAGUUCUUAAUGUAUUUAAAUUUUCUGAAGCAGAUAUUAGUGGUUAAUGUUUACUUUGUAGGAGAAAUGGUUAUGGUGAUAAUAAUAAUCUAACUUCAUAAAUGUGAUGGUGAAUAAGUAUAAAAUAAAGAGUAUGUAUUUAAACAAAUAAUUAUGAAAAUAGAUAAUAAUUUUAGAUAAUAAAUGCUUAAGUAAGAUUUGUAUUUAAAAAAGUUAAAAUUU